AUUUUUCUUUUUCCCAGGGCACAGUCACCCUAGCAAAGCCCACAUGUACCCUCAGAGAAUGCUUGGAGGAAAAUACGGCAUGUGCUGGUUUCAGCGUUGUGGGGCCCUCCCCCGGCAUCUCAGCCUCCUCUUCCAGCGAGGACUCCGGUCUACGGAUUGGUUUUCACCUGGACGGUGGGUGAGAGGCUGACUGUACCUCGUGAUGACCAAGCUCUUCCCAGGUUCUGUUAAUGCACUCCUCAAGGCAACAUCUUGAGACCCAUCAGCUCCUGUUAUGUUUGUGUCCCCCAGAAUUCGUAUGCAGAAGCUGUAACCCCCAAUAUGGCCGUAUUUUGAGAUGGAACUUCUGAAGAUUUCCUGAGGCCUCCGCACCACGCUUCCUGUACAGCC
rnacentral:lncRNA from 1 species